GUCGUCCUCUGGUCCAGGCCUGACAGAACACAGCAGCUGCGCUCCCUCACCCGCUACGCUCCACCUAUCACCGAGGCGCAUUGACACACGCACACAUUUUUCACUUCCAUCACCGGCGCCGUGCUAGCAACGAAAAGCGUUGCGCUACGUUUUCGCUGAGGCGUCUUCGUCGCUGUCCUUCCACGUGCUCCCGUCGCGUGUGCCGUUGUCUCCGUGUGCCUGACCGGCCACAGCGCCACUACGAGGAGACGUGGUGGCAGACAACACCGUGUAAGCGGGACGUCCUUUACCUUUUUUCUUUCUCGCCUCCCUCGCACGUUCAGUUCCACGCGCGAUCGCCAUUACAUCUUUUCGUGUGCCCUCUGCCGGUUGUUCCCUGGGAAUUCCCGAAGAGCCAGCGAAAUAACCGCCACUUCGCUUAAAGAAGGGCAACACGCGCGCUCACUGGCACCUGCGCACGCACACGUGCAUUGCUGGCCCAGCGUAUAGCGGCAAUCCGCUGCUGCAGCAUAAGGCGGCGCGGGGUUGUCUUUGUUUCUUUUUCUUAUUGCAUGUGCUGGUGCCGCGUCACGCCACGCACGGUGGCCCUAUCGCGAUUUCAGGCCCUCCCUCCUCUGUCUCUCUCACUGGUCUCCGCACAGUCUUCCUCCGCCCCUUUUCUGUUCUUACGUUCUGCAG
rnacentral:misc_RNA from 1 species